CUGUUAUACUGCAUUUUUUUCAAUAAUUCAUGGAUUUGAGGGCUAAUCUGCUGUUAAAGAUCAGUGAAAACGUUCGAUUUUCCGGGAAAUGACAGUCGAACUUCGAAGUGUUGCAUCAUUUUCACAAAGUUUUGAUGGUCCUCUUGGGGGAGUGUAACGCAAAAUUGUUUUGUUCAGUACUGGCUAUUCGAGGUUCCUUUUACAUAGUA